GAUGAACGCUGGCGGCGUGCCUAAUACAUGCAAGUCGAGCGAACAGACGAGGAGCUUGCUCCUCUGACGUUAGCGGCGGACGGGUGAGUAACACGUGGAUAACCUACCUAUAAGACUGGGAUAACUUCGGGAAACCGGAGCUAAUACCGGAUAAUAUAUUGAACCGCAUGGUUCAAUAGUGAAAGACGGUUUUGCUGUCACUUAUAGAUGGAUCCGCGCCGCAUUAGCUAGUUGGUAAGGUAACGGCUUACCAAGGCAACGAUGCGUAGCCGACCUGAGAGGGUGAUCGGCCACACUGGAACUGAGACACGGUCCAUACUCCUACGGGAGGCAGCAGUAGGGAAUCUUCCGCAAUGGGCGAAAGCCUGACGGAUCAACGCCGCGUGAGUGAUGAAGGUCUUCGGAUCGUAAAACUCUGUUAUUAGGGAAGAACAAAUGUGUAAGUAACUAUGCACGUUUUGACGGUACCUAAUCAGAAAGCCACGGCUAACUACGUG
rnacentral:rRNA from 1 species